CCUACGGGAGGCAGCAGUGAGGAAUAUUGGUCAAUGGGCGCAAGCCUGAACCAGCCAAGUCGCGUGAGGGAUGACGGCUCUACGGAUUGUAAACCUCUUUUAUAAGGGAAUAAAGUGCGGGACGUGUCCCGUUUUGUAUGUACCUUAUGAAUAAGGAUCGGCUAACUCCGUGCCAGCAGCCGCGGUAAUACGGAGGAUCCGAGCGUUAUCCGGAUUUAUUGGGUUUAAAGGGUGCGUAGGCGGCCUGUUAAGUCAGCGGUGAAAGUUUGUGGCUCAACCAUAGAAUUGCCGUUGAAACUGGGAGGCUUGAGUAGAUUUGAGGCAGGCGGAAUGCGUGGUGUAGCGGUGAAAUGCUUAGAUAUCACGCAGAACCCCGAUUGCGAAGGCAGCCUGCCAAGCCAUGACUGACGCUGAUGCACGAAAGCGUGGGGAUCAAACAGGAUUAGAUACCCCUGUAGUC
rnacentral:rRNA from 1 species